GAUGAACGCUGGCGGCGUGCCUAAUACAUGCAAGUCGAGCGAACAGACGAGGAGCUUGCUCCUCUGACGUUAGCGGCGGACGGGUGAGUAACACGUGGAUAGCCUACCUAUAAGACUGGGAUAACUUCGGGAAACCGGAGCUAAUACCGGAUAAUAUAUUGAACCGCAUGGUUCAAUAGUGAAAGACGGUUUUGCUGUCACUUAUAGAUGGAUCCGCGCCGCAUUAGCUAGUUGGUAAGGUAACGGCUUACCAAGGCAACGAUGCGUAGCCGACCUGAGAGGGUGAUCGGCCACACUGGAACUGAGACACGGUCCAGACUCCUACGGGAGGCAGCAGUAGGGAAUCUUCCGCAAUGGGCGAAAGCCUGACGGAGCAACGCCGCGUGAGUGAUGAAGGUCUUCGGAUCGUAAAACUCUGUUAUUAGGGAAGAACAAAUGCGUAAGUAACUAUGCACGUCUUGACGGUACCUAAUCAGAAAGCCACGGCUAACUACGUG
rnacentral:rRNA from 1 species